GGGUCCAGGCCUUCAGCUGGGAACAUUAUGAAGUCAUGAAUUAAAAUCAAGGUUCUGUUACAGUGGAGAAGGGAGGAUUUGAAUAUGCAAAGAAAACAACAAUAAAUACAGAAGUUAUUCCUUGCUGAUUAAAGGACCAGGCUAAGGGUCAUCUGCCACCAGUAGUUACAAGAAUGGCUGGAAAGUGAUGCACCUCAGAAAAGCUUAAGAGUGGCUUUUGGGCAGCAACCUGCCAUGGGAAACAGGGACCAUCAGGGAGCUACAACUGUGCAACAGCCAACGUGAUGCUGCCCUGUUCCUGUAUGGUUACGAAGUAACAUCUCAGUUUCUAGAACUUUCUGCUAUGGGACAGUCACAGACACAGUGAGAACUCAAGACCCAGGAAGCCCUACAGUUUCAAAUGUUGCCACGUGCUCCAGGCCUGAGGGAGGAGCAGCAGUCACUGGACCUGUCUGGCGAGAAGAUGUCAGGGUGAGAGUAGCUUAAUUCCAGCUUAAAUUCUGGUGAAGCUGUCAAGCUCGGACUCCAUCGUCCUCUGAGAUCUAUGCAGUUCUAAGGGAGGGCUCCAUGUCCCGGUGCUUGCAUAGACUCAGCGCUCGGCACACUCUGGGGUCUACAGUGUUGGGAAUUUCUAAAGCCGGCUCCACUCUGUGAUUUUUUUCUUUUAAAUGACUUAUUUUCAACACUCAUCGGAAUGACUUCUUUGGAAGAAAGCUGAGCUGGCCCACAGAAUAGGAUUGUUU
rnacentral:lncRNA from 1 species